rnacentral:misc_RNA from 1 species
GCCAGACACUUAGAUUGGGCAAGAUUAAGCUUCUACCAGUUGGGUCCCGAGUUUAUGAGAGGUUACCUUCUGCUGAAGCUGAACUUACCUCCGGUGUCAAAGACCGGGAUGUGGACUGACUGAGAUUAUUACUCUUGAAAAAGAAUGUCUACUCACUGACUUGUUGUAUGUACAUUUUGAGCACACUUUGUUUCUUGCGGAAUUGUUUGUUGUUUUUACCUGCCUGAUAAUGAGGUACAUAAUUA